AAUAUUGCGCAAUGGAGGGACCUCUGACGCAGCGACGCCGCGUGAGCGAAGAAGGCCUUCGGGUCGUAAAGCUCUGUCCUAAGGGAAGAAACGGACGGUACCUUAGGAGGAAUCCCCGGCUAACUCCGUGCCCGCAGCCGCGGUAAUACGUAGGGGGCGAGCGUUACUCGGAAUUACUGGGCGUAAAGGGUACGUAGGCGGCUAUAUAAGUCAGGUGUGAAAUACCAGUGCUUAACACUGGAAUUGUAUUUGAAGCUGUGUAGCUUGAGUGCAGGAGAGGAAAGUGGAAUUCCUAGUGUAGCGGUGAAAUGCGUAGAGAUUAGGAGGAACACCAGUGGCGAAGGCGACUUUCUGGACUGUAUCUGACGCUGAGGUACGAAAGCGUGGGUAGCGAACA
rnacentral:rRNA from 1 species